AUUGAACGCUGGCGGCAGGCCUAACACAUGCAAGUCGAACGAGUGGCGGACGGGUGAGUAAUGUCUGGGAAACUGCCCGAUGGAGGGGGAUAACUACUGGAAACGGUAGCUAAUACCGCAUACCAUCGGAUGUGCCCAGAUGGGAUUAGCUAGUAGGUGGGGUAACGGCUCACCUAGGCGACGAUCCCUAGCUGGUCUGAGAGGAUGAUCAGCCACACGGGACAUGAAACACGGCCCAGCCUCCUCGGGGAGGCGGCAGUGGGGAAUUUUGCACAAUGGGCGCAGGCCUGAUGCAGCCAUGCCGCGUGUAUGAGGAAGGCCUUCGGGUUGUAAAGUACUUUCAGUCGGGAGGCGUUACCGACAGAAGAAGCCCCGGCUAACUCCGUGCCAGCGGCCGCGGUAAUU
rnacentral:rRNA from 1 species